UCAAAUUUAUAUAGCCUCACUGUCUCUGUCUCUAAUUCUCCAUCUCUCCACCUCUUUCUCUAUUCACAUGCAUAGCCUCGUCCGAUGUUAUAGAUGUCGUCGCCACCGCCAACGACUGAAUAAUCAUAAGGUCGUCUCUCUUCGUACUAUUUCGUGAUUUCCACUAAAUCAUCAUAACGACGUUCUCGUUCUUCAAGCAAUCGUGUUUUUAAUGCUUGUUAAUCUUUAAUUAUGUGCAAAGUAUAUCACCACUGAACUACAUUUUUUACUUGCCGAUCGAAUUCCUCCUUACUCUCGUCGCAAACUUCCUCUACUUAACUUUUGAGGCCUUUGAAUUAGUUCGAUUUUGUGUUCGGAAACUAUAAGGUUCCUUAAUGACUAUGUUCUGUUUUUAAUAAAGGCCCUUGAUUUAAUUGAUGCGGUCAAGGGACUGCAUGCACGAGCAAAUCAUGGAUCAUACAUACAGGUUAUUUGGAAGAAAUAAAUAGCUAUAUUGAUUCCUGUUUAAACUUUGGAAUGCAAAUGAUGGAAUCACAUGAUCAUUGCCACUUGACUUGGACAAAUUUGCAAGAACUGCCAGAGAGAAAAAAGUGAGAAACGGUGGUGCUUAUCGAGGAAGGAGAAGACGCAAGUGAGAAAUUCACUAUAGAGCGUAAUUUAGGAUUCAUGUUCUUAGAUUUUGAAUUGGGGCUAUAUAAAUUAGAUAUUUAACAGUAUUUUUUAUAUUAGAAUCAAGAUAUCAGGAUAGGGGUUAUGAGUAUCUAUUAAUACAUUGUACGCAUUAAUGGGGCUAUAAGGUUAAGAUAGUAAAAUCAUAAUUAUUUUUA